CAGGGAGAAACUCGAUGAGAAAACAGGAGGCCCUCUUCGAAAUGCGGCAAUUGAAACAGGGUAUGGGGAUGUGAAUGCCUGGAUAGAAUGGGUCAAAUAUGCUGUCCAGAGUCUCAACCAUAGCAAUUGCUAUGCUUGCGCCUCAGGAUGACCGACUGCCCAGAUAGUGCCCUUCCCAUUGGGGUGGACCAAGGGUUCCCAGGGGAUGCAAUGUAUGAUUGCAUUAUACCAAGAAAAGACUGCCUGGGGAAAUGAGGCCUGUAAGCGUCUCUCUUUGCUGUUCCCUUCCUUGCGUGAUAGCAAUAUCAGGGUUCCCCCUGCAUUAUCUACAGCUAUAGGUAACCAUACAGCUUGCCUUUCACGGCAGGGUGGGAGUGCUACCCAGCAUCUGGGAGAAUUUACCUUGUGCACGAGGACCUUGAAUGCUACCAAGGACUUGAUGGGAAACUGCUCAAGACUUGAGAUCCCCAGGGCAGAUCUCUGGUGGUACUGUGGAGGGAAGAUCUUACGGUCCACCCUACCAUCUAAUUGGGGAGGCACUUGUGCACUUGUUCAAUUAGCUAUACCCUUCACCCUGGCAUUUGAAA